rnacentral:rRNA from 1 species
AGUGAACGCUGGCGGUAGGCCUAGCACAUGCAAGUCGAACGGCAGCACAGUAAGAGCUUGCUCUUACGGGUGGCGAGUGGCGGACGGGUGAGGAAUACAUCGGAAUCUACUUUUUCGUGGGGGAUAACGUAGGGAAACUUACGCUAAUACCGCAUACGACCUACGGGUGAAAGCAGGGGCUCUUCGGACCUUGCGCGAUUGAAUGAGCCGAUGUCGGAUUAGCUAGUUGGCGGGGUAAAGGCCCACCAAGGCGACGAUCCGUAGCUGGUCUGAGAGGAUGAUCAGCCACACUGGAACUGAGACACGGUCCAGACUCCUACGGGAGGCAGCAGUGGGGAAUAUUGGACAAUGGGCGCAAGCCUGAUCCAGCCAUACCGCGUGGGUGAAGAAGGCCUUCGGGUUGUAAAGCCCUUUUGUUGGGAAAGAAAAGCAGCAGGUUAAUACCCCGCUGUUCUGACGGUACCCAAAGAAUAAGCACCGGCUAACUUCGUG